rnacentral:rRNA from 1 species
AUACGGAGGAUGCAAGCGUUAUCCGGAUUUACUGGGCGUAAAGGGCGUGUAGGCGGUCUUGCAAGUCAGAAGUGAAAUUCCUGAGCUCAACUCGGGCGCUGCUUCUGAAACUGCAGGACUUGAGUGUUGGAGGGGAUAGCGGAAUUCCUAGUGGAGCGGUAAAAUGCGCAGAUAUUAGGAAGAACACCGGUGGCGAAGGCGGCUAUCUGGACAGUAACUGACGCUGAGGCGCGAAAGCGUGGGGAGCAAUCAGGAUUAGAUACCCGGGUAGUCCACGCCGUAAACGAUGAAUACUAGGUGUAGGGGGUAUCGACUCCCUCUGUGCCGCAGUUAACACAAUAAGUAUUCCGCCUGGGGAGUACGGCCGCAAGGUUGAAACUCAAAGGAAUUGACGGGG